ensembl:misc_RNA 7SK 7SK RNA
AGACAUGAGAGCAAUGUGGCUGUAACAUCUGUCACCCCAUUGAUCGCCAGCAUUGAUUCAGCUGAUCUGGCUGGCUAGACUGGUGUUCCCCUUCCUGCCUCACCCCUCCACGUGCGUCCCUCCCAAAGCUGCAGGCUUGGUCAAAGAGGACAAGCAUCCCCAACAGAGGAGGACCGGUCUUUGGUCAAGGGUAUGUUAGUAGCUGCACUGCCCUGCCAGAACCUCCAAACAAGCUCUCAAGAAUACACACAUAAACAAUUAGUAUAGACAGUUGCUAUUAAAUUCAUAAGUUCUAUAAUCAUAAGGUUUUUAUUUUUUAU